UACGGAGGGUGCAAGCGUUAUCCGGAUUCACUGGGUUUAAAGGGUGUGUAGGCGGAUAUUUAAGUCAGUGGUGAAAUCUCCAGGCUCAACCUGGAAACUGCCAUUGAUACUAUUUAUCUUGAAUCCUGUUGAGGUGGGCGGAAUACAUCAUGUAGCGGUGAAAUGCUUAGAUAUGAUGUAGAACACCGAUUGCGAAGGCAGCUCACUAAGCAGGUAUUGACGCUGAGGCACGAAAGCGUGGGGAUCAAACAGG
rnacentral:rRNA from 1 species